GCCCCAAUCGUCUAGCCCGGCCAAGGACACCGGCCUUUCAAGCCGAGAACCCGAGUUCAAAUCUCGGUUGGGGCA
rnacentral:tRNA from 1 species